AUGCCGCUCCUCCCACCCCCCUCCACGGCCACGCUGCCCCACCUCCGCCUCCCGCUCCCGCUUCCCCACAGCCUCCGCCUCCUUCACCGUGCCUCCCGCCACCCGCGCCUCCUCCCCGCGCCGGCGGCCGCCUCUCUCCCCCCGCCGCCCCCCUAUGCGCUUCUCCCGAACCAGGCCACGGGCCUCGUCGCGGCUUCCCAGGCCAAUUUCAUGCGCGUCAUCGUCAGCUCCACCGCCCCGGGGCUCGAGCAACACCAAGGGACAGACCUUCUCUGCGUCGUCCGCGCGCUGCUCAAGAAGAUCCGCCGCCGCGUGCUCGUUGGGGACAGGGUGCUCGUCGGGGCCGUCGACUGGACCGACCGCCGCGGGAUGAUCGAGGACGUCUUUGAGCGCCGGAGCGAGGUGGUCGAUCCGCCGGUCGCCAACGUCGACCGUCUCGUUGUGCUCUUCUCGCUGGACCAGCCGCAGCCUGAGCCCGCCACGCUCACCAGGUUCCUCGUCGAGGCCGAGUCCACAGGGAUACCCUUCGUGCUUGCCUUCAACAAGGUCGAGCUCGCGGACGACCAGAUCAUCUCCUACUGGAGGGACAGGUUGAAGAACUGGGGCUAUGAUCCACUCUUUCUAAGUGUUGAUCAGAGAUCUGGAUUAUCUGCUCUUGAAGAGAUGCUGGAAGGACAGACAACUGUAGUUGUUGGUCCAAGCGGUGUUGGGAAGUCCAGUCUUAUUAAUGCCUUGAGAUGCAACCAAAACAUUUCAGAGGAAGAUCCAAUACAUCAACUUCUUGAACAGAAUAGUAAAUGGUUUGGUGAACAACGCGUUGGUCCUGUGUCCAAGAAAAGCGGCAAAGGAAAGCAUACCACACGUCAUGUUUCAUUACUUCCGAUAGUUGAUGGAGGUUUUCUUGCUGAUACUCCUGGAUUUAACCAGCCUAGCCUGAUGAAAGUGACCAAAAGGGGUCUUGCAGAAACUUUCCCUGAGAUAAGAAAGAUGCUAGAAGAAAAUGAGUCCUCCGGGUGCUUAUUUAAUGACUGUGUUCACCUUGGUGAACAUGGCUGUGUUGUCAAAGGUGACUGGGAAAGAUAUCCAUACUAUCUGCAGUUGCUUGAUGAGAUCAAAAUCAGAGAAUCCUUCCAGUUACGAACAUUUGGAACUAAAAGAGAAGGUGAUGUCAGGUAUAAAACAGGUGCCAUGGGUGUGAAGCAAGCGGAGCCUCGCCUUCAACUCAAAAAGCACAGGAGGGUGUCCAGGAAGAAGUUGAACCAAUCGAUUCUCGAUGAAAUGGAUUCUGAUAUGGAUGACCUCGAUGAUGACUACCAGUUCGGUGUAAGCCGACGUACUAGCAAACGGUGA
rnacentral:rRNA from 1 species